GUGGUCUAAGGCACUACAUCACAGUGCUCGCUGUGCCACUAGAGAUUCUGGGAUCGAGUCCAGACUCUGUCGCACCCGGCCGCGACCGGGAGACCCAUGGGGUGGCGCACAAUUAGCCCAGCGUCGUCCGGGUUAGGGGAGGGUUUGGCCGGCAGGGAUGUCCUUGUCCCAUCGCGCUCUAGCGUCUCCUAUGGCGGGCCGGGCGCAGGGCACGCUGACACGGUCACCAGUGUCUCCUAUGGCGGGCCGGGCGCAGGGCACGCUGACACGGUCACCAGGUGUCUCCUAUGGCGGGCUGGGCGCAGGGCACGCUGACACGGUCACCAGGUGUCUCCUAUGGCGGGCUGGGCGCAGGGCACGCUGACACGGUCACCAGGUGUCUCCUAUGGCGGGCUGGGCGCAGGGCACGCUGACACGGUCACCAGGUGUCUCCUAUGGCGGGCUGGGCGCAGGGCACGCUGACACGGUCACCAGGUGUCUCCUAUGGUGGGCUGGGCGCAGGGCACGCUGACACGGUCACCAGGUGUCUCCUAUGGCGGGCUGGGCGCAGGGCACGCUGACACGGUCACCAGGUGUCUCCUAUGGUGGGCUGGGCGCAGGGCACGCUGACACGGUCACCAGGUGUCUCCUAUGGUGGGCCGGGCGCAGGGCACGCUGACACGGUCACCAGGUGUCUCCUAUGGCGGGCCGGGCGCAGGGCACGCUGACACGGUCACCAGGUGUCUCCUAUGGUGGGCUGGGUGCAGGGCACGCUGACACGGUCACCAGGUGUCUCCUAUGGUGGGCCGGGCGCAGGGCACGCUGACACGGUCACCAGGUGUCUCCUAUGGUGGGCUGGGCGCAGGGCACGCUGACACGGUCACCAGGUGUCUCCUAUGGUGGGCUGGGUGCAGGGCACGCUGACACGGUCACCAGGUGUCUCCUCCAACACAUUGGUGCGGCUGGCUUCCAGGUUAAAUGGGGUAAAAAGGGGUAAAAAAAACAAAAACAUAAUCAUUUGUUUUUUUUUGACAAUUAAAUUUUAAAAAAUGGUUUAGUCAGUGAUGCAAGUAAACAGAAAUAUCGGGGCAAUUUCCGCAACAACUAAGAGCAUUGAAGCACGAGGCGAAAGUUCUCCGCUGUUUUGUUCCCGCAGCUAUCACACUGUAGCAGAUUGAACUGUGGACAUGCGCAGAUACUCUGAGGUACUCUGAUAUUCUGUGAGUGCAUCGUUUUGCAUUGCACUACUAUGCAACAUCUGCGUUGCUGCUCGUCUCCAUUUAAAACAUAUUAACCGCCUGUCAGCAAUGCUUCCAUCUGUCCUUUAGAGAAAAAAGGAAAUAGGCUAGUAACUAGAAUACACAGGAGAGUCAGAGACAAUAGAAAGCAUUCAUGUCAACAUAAACUCUCCUUGGCUCUUUUCUCAC